rnacentral:rRNA from 1 species
UACGUAGGCAGCGAGCGUUGUUCGGAAUUACUGGGCGUAAAGAGUGUGUAGGCGGUUCUCUAAGUCUGUCGUGAAAUCUCCCGGCUUAACCGGGAGGCUGCGGCGGAAACUGGUGUGCUAGAGGGUGGGAGAGGUAAGCGGAAUUCCUGGUGUAGCGGUGAAAUGCGUAGAUAUCAGGAGGAACACCUGCGGUGUAGACAGCUUACUGGACCACUUCUGACGCUGAGACACGAAAGCGUGGGUAGCAAACAGG